AUACGGAGGGUGCAAGCGUUACUCGGAAUCACUGGGCGUAAAGCGCGCGCAGGCGGUCUUUUAAGUUGGAUGUGAAAGCCUACGGCUCAACCGUAGAACUGCAUCCAAAACUAUUAGACUAGAGUGUGGGAGAGGAAGAUGGAAUUAGUUGUGUAGGGGUAAAAUCCGUAGAGAUAACUAGGAAUACCAAAAGCGAAGGCAAUCUUCUGGAACACUACUGACGCUGAGGCGCGAAAGCGUGGGGAGCAAACAGGAUUAGAAACCCCUAGUAGUCC
rnacentral:rRNA from 1 species